CACCAUCAAGAUUUGCUUCAAAAAAUGCCAUCCAAUUCAUGUUCACUUUCAUUACCAUGCAAUUUCUCCUUUUUCCAUUACUUUCCCUUUUUCUUUUCCAUUUUCUAGGCACCUGAAAGACCAAAGUGCCCCUGAUCCUAUCUAACCUUAUCUGAUGCGUGUGGACUGGUUGGAUAAGGAUUGCUCUCAGGCUACCUCGCUCUUGUCGUCACGGGUUGCUCGUCGUCGAACCUCACCGCUGCCAGCGCAAGCCACAGCAGCUCUCCGCCCUAGCUUGCCCACGCCUGUGCGAGCAACCGUAGCUCCCUGACGGUGCUCACCCACGCUGAUGCCCGAGCGAGCCACUGCGACUCGCUGCCGGUUCUCGUCCACGUCUGCAGGCGCCGGCGCAGUUCGUCCUCGCCUCGCGGAUGCCUGCGCUAGAUACCUCAGCUCGCUGCGGGUUCUCCCCCACGCCUGCGCGUGAUAGCGCAGCUCUCUGCGGGUCCUGAGCAAGUGGCGUGAUGGCAGCAGCGGCCGGAGGAGGAGAUGGAUGCGUGUGUAGGUCCUGAAGAUGUUGAAUGCAAGCAACAUGUUGAUGCAUUGACGGAGUCAAUACACUGGUACAGCCCCAACAUGGAAGAUACAAAUUACUUCAUAUUUCUUGCUGUAAUUUCAGUGGUGACUUCCGGGCAAAGAAAGGGCGGCUGCCUGACAUUGUGGGGUCGAUUAACAUCUGCCACUGAGUCGCUGGAUCUACCUAUUAUUACUUGCAAUUCAGUAGUAGAGCACCCUGACUCAUUCAGCUCCCCUUCUCGGAAGAUGGCAUUAGGCAGUUUACUUUCUGAUGGAGACCACUUCUGAUGCUACCUAGAUUGGCCGAUCUACUUUUUUCAUCAGCGACACUACUAUCCAUUUCAUGAGGAAGCACUUGGCAUAUCUGCUGUAGGAUCACAAUGUUCAGCCUGGCUUCUAUCUUUUAUCUGGAAGCGACACAACAUCUCACCAACAGCGGCAGGAACCGAAUCGAUUGGGCAGCAGCGGCGAAGACGCAAACGGACGACCAGCCGAGAUACGAAGAAGCAUCGAAGCAGAAAAAGGUGUCAGGGCGCAAGUUCCAUACUGACAGCCUAUCCCACAUGCAGUACGAAAAUACUAAAGCAGCCAAACGAACCGCAACACCAGUUCAAAAAAUUUAAAACAAAACACCGAAUCCACAACACAUUUCUACACAUCCGUGUACCAAAAUAAUACCACGCGGCUGUAGCGACCAGACCUCAAAUGGUCUGUGCUGCUGUGCACCAGUGUUAUCCCUGGAUCAGUAAUGCUGACACACACAGUACAAAUGGAGGAUUUAUAACAGAGUAGCAAUCACACACUUAUUACAUCGAAUAUCUCUAAAGAGAUUAUAAGUAUGAUAAACAUGGCUUAAGGCCAUCUAAUA